rnacentral:rRNA from 1 species
UACGGAGGGUGCAAGCGUUAUCCGGAUUCACUGGGUUUAAAGGGUGCGUAGGAGGGCAGGUAAGUCAGUGGUGAAAUCUUCGAGCUUAACUCGGAAACUGCCGUUGAUACUCUCUGUCUUGAAUACCGUGGAGGUGAGUGGAAUAUGUCAUGUAGCGGUGAAAUGCUUAGAUAUGACAUAGAACACCAAUUGCGAAGGCAGCUCACUACACGCAUAUUGACUCUGAGGCACGAAAGCGUGGGGAGCAAACAGG